GUUUCUUUCUGUUUGGACUUGUGGAGGAGCAUGAGUAGAGAGGACACUUGACAUUUGCUGUUCGGUGAGAAUUGGUUGGCCAAAGAGUAAAAACCGAGGUGUCUUCACAUUAUCAGCUUUCUCCAUCUGACUAGAGGUACCCAUGGUAAGCAAGCAAGAUAUAUUUUCAUUGCUCUCUUUUUGGACCUUACUUGUGCCAAU
rnacentral:misc_RNA from 1 species